GCGCGCCCCUCCCCCUCCCGCAGCGCGGCGGGCGGCAUGGCGGCUGCGGUCCUGGCGGUGAGUGCGGCGGGUCACCAUCGCUCGCCAUCCGCCGGCACGGCGGCCUCGCGGGGCCUAAGGGGAGCCGGAAGAGGAGCGGGACACCCUUGCGCGCUGCCGCGGCUGUCUAGCAUGGCACAGUACCGCGCAAGGGCAGGACACUCACCUGAAAGAAGAUUCCUCUGCUGGACCUGUGGCACAGCUGCACAACGGAGUGGAGGAGAAACUUUAUUGGAAGUGCUGUUGCUAACUGCUCGAUGUAACUUGUAUCCAGGAGGAAAUGGUCUUGCAGAAUCCUGGGCAGCUCAAAGACAGCUUUGGCCAGGGCCCAGCUGCUGAGAUGGGCUUCAAGCUGAAGAUCAAUAAUGUUCACUGACAGGCUGACCUGGCAGGCUUGACGACUGGACUUCAGAAGUCAAGAUGCAGCAGAAGAAAGACUCUUCUGGAAUGGGCAAUGCCAGCGAUGUGAUGGCCACCUGCACGGAACUGCUGGCUCCACAGUGCUCAGGGCCCCCUGCAACCACGUCAUGGCUGAGUUCCCAGUGAAGCCAAGGAGAAUUUGGGUGCUAAGGGCAAGUUUUUGUCCCCUGAGACCUGUAUACUCAGUGCUGAUCAGAAGCAUUUCAGCUGGCAGCUGAUUUGCUCUGACACUGCCCUUCUUCCACUAAGAGCUGCUCCACAGCUGGCUGGAGGAGGGAAGGGUUCCCUGCUGUCCUGUAACAGAAUAAAAGUCAGAUCUGGAAA